rnacentral:rRNA from 1 species
GGUUAAGCGACUAAGCGUACACGGUGGAUGCCCUGGCAGUCAGAGGCGAUGAAGGACGUGCUAAUCUGCGAAAAGCGUCGGUAAGGUGAUAUGAACCGUUAUAACCGGCGAUGUCCGAAUGGGGAAACCCAGUGUGUUCCGACACACUAUCAUUAACUGAAUCCAUAGGUUAAUGAGGCGAACCGGGGGAACUGAAACAUCUAAGUACCCCGAGGAAAAGAAAUCAACCGAGAUUCCCCCAGUAGCGGCGAGCGAACGGGGAGGAGCCCAGAGCCUGAAUCAGUGUGUGUGUUAGUGGAAGCGUCUGGAAAGGCGCGCGAUACAGGGUGACAGCCCCGUACACAAAAAUGCACAUGCUGUGAGCUCGAUGAGUAGGGCGGGACACGUGGUAUCCUGUCUGAAUAUGGGGGGACCAUCCUCCAAGGCUAAAUACUCCUGACUGACCGAUAGUGAACCAGUACCGUGAGGGAAAGGCGAAAAGAACCCCGGCGAGGGGAGUGAAAAAGAACCUGAAACCGUGUACGUACAAGCAGUGGGAGCCUCUUAAUGGGGUGACUGCGUACCUUUUGUAUAAUGGGUCAGCGACUUAUAUUCUGUAGCAAGGUUAACCGAAUAGGGGAGCCGGAGGGAAACCGAGUCUUAACUGGGCGUUAAGUUGCAGGGUAUAGACCCGAAACCCGGUGAUCUAGCCAUGGGCAGGUUGAAGGUUGGGUAACACUAACUGGAGGACCGAACCGACUAAUGUUGAAAAAUUAGCGGAUGACUUGUGGCUGGGGGUGAAAGGCCAAUCAAACCGGGAGAUAGCUGGUUCUCCCCGAAAGCUAUUUAGGUAGCGCCUCGUGAAUUCAUCUCCGGGGGUAGAGCACUGUUUCGGCAAGGGGGUCAUCCCGACUUACCAACCCGAUGCAAACUGCGAAUACCGGAGAAUGUUAUCACGGGAGACACACGGCGGGUGCUAACGUCCGUCGUGAAGAGGGAAACAACCCAGACCGCCAGCUAAGGUCCCAAAGUCAUGGUUAAGUGGGAAACGAUGUGGGAAGGCCCAGACAGCCAGGAUGUUGGCUUAGAAGCAGCCAUCAUUUAAAGAAAGCGUAAUAGCUCACUGGUCGAGUCGGCCUGCGCGGAAGAUGUAACGGGGCUAAACCAUGCACCGAAGCUGCGGCAGCGACGCUGAUGCGUUGUUGGGUAGGGGAGCGUUCUGUAAGCCUGUGAAGGUGUGCUGUGAGGCAUGCUGGAGGUAUCAGAAGUGCGAAUGCUGACAUAAGUAACGAUAAAGCGGGUGAAAAGCCCGCUCGCCGGAAGACCAAGGGUUCCUGUCCAACGUUAAUCGGGGCAGGGUGAGUCGACCCCUAAGGCGAGGCCGAAAGGCGUAGUCGAUGGGAAACAGGUUAAUAUUCCUGUACUUGGUGUUACUGCGAAGGGGGGACGGAGAAGGCUAUGUUGGCCGGGCGACGGUUGUCCCGGUUUAAGCGUGUAGGCUGGUUUUCCAGGCAAAUCCGGAGAAUCAAGGCUGAGGCGUGAUGACGAGGCACUACGGUGCUGAAGCAACAAAUGCCCUGCUUCCAGGAAAAGCCUCUAAGCAUCAGGUAGCAUCAAAUCGUACCCCAAACCGACACAGGUGGUCAGGUAGAGAAUACCAAGGCGCUUGAGAGAACUCGGGUGAAGGAACUAGGCAAAAUGGUGCCGUAACUUCGGGAGAAGGCACGCUGAUAUGUAGGUGAAGCGACUUGCUCGUGGAGCUGAAAUCAGUCGAAGAUACCAGCUGGCUGCAACUGUUUAUUAAAAACACAGCACUGUGCAAACACGAAAGUGGACGUAUACGGUGUGACGCCUGCCCGGUGCCGGAAGGUUAAUUGAUGGGGUCAGCGCAAGCGAAGCUCUUGAUCGAAGCCCCGGUAAACGGCGGCCGUAACUAUAACGGUCCUAAGGUAGCGAAAUUCCUUGUCGGGUAAGUUCCGACCUGCACGAAUGGCGUAAUGAUGGCCAGGCUGUCUCCACCCGAGACUCAGUGAAAUUGAACUCGCUGUGAAGAUGCAGUGUACCCGCGGCAAGACGGAAAGACCCCGUGAACCUUUACUAUAGCUUGACACUGAACACUGGUCCUUGAUGUGUAGGAUAGGUGGGAGGCUUUGAAGUGUGGACGCCAGUCUGCAUGGAGCCGUCCUUGAAAUACCACCCUUUAAUGGCUGGUGUUCUAACGUUGGCCCCUUACCGGGGUUGCGGACAGUGUCUGGUGGGUAGUUUGACUGGGGCGGUCUCCUCCUAAAGAGUAACGGAGGAGCACGAAGGUUGGCUAAUCCUGGUCGGACAUCAGGAGGUUAGUGCAAUGGCAUAAGCCAGCUUGACUGCGAGCGUGACGGCGCGAGCAGGUGCGAAAGCAGGUCAUAGUGAUCCGGUGGUUCUGAAUGGAAGGGCCAUCGCUCAACGGAUAAAAGGUACUCCGGGGAUAACAGGCUGAUACCGCCCAAGAGUUCAUAUCGACGGCGGUGUUUGGCACCUCGAUGUCGGCUCAUCACAUCCUGGGGCUGAAGUAGGUCCCAAGGGUAUGGCUGUUCGCCAUUUAAAGUGGUACGCGAGCUGGGUUUAGAACGUCGUGAGACAGUUCGGUCCCUAUCUGCCGUGGGCGCUGGAGAACUGAGGGGGGCUGCUCCUAGUACGAGAGGACCGGAGUGGACGCAUCACUGGUGUUCGGGUUGUCAUGCCAAUGGCACUGCCCGGUAGCUAAAUGCGGAAGAGAUAAGUGCUGAAAGCAUCUAAGCACGAAACUUGCCCCGAGAUGAGUUCUCCCUGAGACUUAGAGUCUCCUGAAGGAACGUUGAAGACGACGACGUUGAUAGGCCGGGUGUGUAAGCGCAGCGAUGCGUUGAGCUAACCGGUACUAAUGAACCGUGAGGCUUAACCUU